AAUGAACGCUGGCGGCGCGCCUAAUACAUGCAAGUCGAGCGAGAAGACGUAGCAAUACGUUUGUAAAGCGGCGAACGGGUGAGGAAUACAUGGGUAACCUACCCUCGAGUGGGGAAUAACUAGCCGAAAGGUUAGCUAAUACCGCGUACGCUUCUUGGACUUCGGUUCAGGGAGGAAAGCGAUACCGUGGGUAUCGCGCUCUUGGAUGGGCUCAUGUCCUAUCAGCUUGUUGGGAGGUAACGGCUCACCAAGGCUUCGACGGGUAGCUGGUCUGAGAGGACGAUCAGCCACACUGGCACUGCGACACGGGCCAGACUCCUACGGGAGGCAGCAGUAAGGAAUAUUGCGCAAUGGGCGAAAGCCUGACGCAGCAACGCCGCGUGGGGGAUGGACGGCCU
rnacentral:rRNA from 1 species